ACGCUGGGCCCAAAAUACAUUGUUCCUGGUGGUUAUAGGUUGGUGCCAGAGUAAGGCAGAGAAACUGCUAUCAGUGUGUGAACAUGUGUGUGUGCAUGCAGCUGUAACAGUUUGAACACAGAAACUCGUGGAAAACUUUCCACUUAGUUUAGGAGUGUAUUUUGAGGGGAUGUUUGGACAAUUAUGCGUAUUGGUGAACACAAAACGUCUCAUUUGGCAAAAUGCAGUCGGUCAAUUUUCAGUUUAAAACCAGAAUACAUAAUACACCAUUGAACCAAAUUGUGGGCAAAGUGAGUCGUUGCAUCCCUACAAGAAAUACGUUUGCAUAUGUGUAUGUUGAAAGUUUUAAACAUGUGUGUUGUUCUAAAUUCAACAUAUUCAAUGUUGUUUUAUUAGAAGAAAAAGUAAACAAAAAGGUAUUUUCCCAUCGUUGCUUGCAAAUAAAAAAAAAUGAAUCUGUCGGAAUGUUUUCCUUCCUGUAGUUUUAUUAAACACAAAUUAUAUAUUGAACCAAAACAAAAUCGUAGAGUAUUAGUAACGUCCUGUUCUCUUCACACUGCAUUUCCCAUCAGCCCAUGCAGCUCCUCCCAGAAGCUCCUCGGCUGCUUCUCAUCUCCAAUCACCCUCAACAGCUUAAAGCCAGAGCACCAAGCCAAGCUCAGUGCGAACCGCCUGCCUCGACUCCUGACUGCCCUUGACCUCCGUCUGCCUCUCCUCUGACAAUGCCAAGCCAUGCCUGACCUUCGCCUGUCUCUGACCACCGUCUGCCUCAUCUAUGAAAUCUCCACGCCAUGCCUGACCACUGCCUGUCAGACCAGCAUCUGCCCCUCAACUCUUAAAAAACACUGCAUAUGGA